ACUAAGCGUACACGGUGGAUGCCCUGGCAGUCAGAGGCGAUGAAGGACGUGCUAAUCUGCGAUAAGCGUCGGUGAGGUGAUAUGAACCGUUAUAACCGGCGAUUUCCGAAUGGGGAAACCCAGUGUGUUUCGACACACUAUCAUUAACUGAAUCCAUAGGUUAAUGAGGCGAACCGGGGGAACUGAAACAUCUAAGUACCCCGAGGAAAAGAAAUCAACCGAGAUUCCCCCAGUAGCGGCGAGCGAACGGGGAGGAGCCCAGAGCCUGAAUCAGUGUGUGUGUUAGUGGAAGCGUCUGGAAAGGCGUGCGAUACAGGGUGACAGCCCCGUACACAAAAAUGCACAUAUUGUGAGCUCGAUGAGUAGGGCGGGACACGUGGUAUCCUGUCUGAAUAUGGGGGGACCAUCCUCCAAGGCUAAAUACUCCUGACUGACCGAUAGUGAACCAGUACCGUGAGGGAAAGGCGAAAAGAACCCCGGCGAGGGGAGUGAAAAAGAACCUGAAACCGUGUACGUACAAGCAGUGGGAGCCUCUUAAUGGGGUGACUGCGUACCUUUUGUAUAAUGGGUCAGCGACUUAUAUUCUGUAGCAAGGUUAACCGAAUAGGGGAGCCGAAGGGAAACCGAGUCUUAACUGGGCGUUAAGUUGCAGGGUAUAGACCCGAAACCCGGUGAUCUAGCCAUGGGCAGGUUGAAGGUUGGGUAACACUAACUGGAGGACCGAACCGACUAAUGUUGAAAAAUUAGCGGAUGACUUGUGGCUGGGGGUGAAAGGCCAAUCAAACCGGGAGAUAGCUGGUUCUCCCCGAAAGCUAUUUAGGUAGCGCCUCGUGAAUUCAUCUCCGGGGGUAGAGCACUGUUUCGGCAAGGGGGUCAUCCCGACUUACCAACCCGAUGCAAACUGCGAAUACCGGAGAAUGUUAUCACGGGAGACACACGGCGGGUGCUAACGUCCGUCGUGAAGAGGGAAACAACCCAGACCGCCAGCUAAGGUCCCAAAGUCAUGGUUAAGUGGGAAACGAUGUGGGAAGGCCCAGACAGCCAGGAUGUUGGCUUAGAAGCAGCCAUCAUUUAAAGAAAGCGUAAUAGCUCACUGGUCGAGUCGGCCUGCGCGGAAGAUGUAACGGGGCUAAACCAUGCACCGAAGCUGCGGCAGCGACACUAUGUGUUGUUGGGUAGGGGAGCGUUCUGUAAGCCUGUGAAGGUGGCCUGUGAGGGUUGCUGGAGGUAUCAGAAGUGCGAAUGCUGACAUAAGUAACGAUAAAGCGGGUGAAAAGCCCGCUCGCCGGAAGACCAAGGGUUCCUGUCCAACGUUAAUCGGGGCAGGGUGAGUCGACCCCUAAGGCGAGGCCGAAAGGCGUAGUCGAUGGGAAACAGGUUAAUAUUCCUGUACUUGGUGUUACUGCGAAGGGGGGACGGAGAAGGCUAUGUUGGCCGGGCGACGGUUGUCCCGGUUUAAGCGUGUAGGCUGGUUUUCCAGGCAAAUCCGGAAAACCAAGGCUGAGGCGUGAUGACGAGGCACUACGGUGCUGAAGCGACAAAUGCCCUGCUUCCAGGAAAAGCCUCUAAGCAUCAGGUAACAUCAAAUCGUACCCCAAACCGACACAGGUGGUCAGGUAGAGAAUACCAAGGCGCUUGAGAGAACUCGGGUGAAGGAACUAGGCAAAAUGGUGCCGUAACUUCGGGAGAAGGCACGCUGAUAUGUAGGUGAAGCGACUUGCUCGUGGAGCUGAAAUCAGUCGAAGAUACCAGCUGGCUGCAACUGUUUAUUAAAAACACAGCACUGUGCAAACACGAAAGUGGACGUAUACGGUGUGACGCCUGCCCGGUGCCGGAAGGUUAAUUGAUGGGGUUAGCGGCAACGCGAAGCUCUUGAUCGAAGCCCCGGUAAACGGCGGCCGUAACUAUAACGGUCCUAAGGUAGCGAAAUUCCUUGUCGGGUAAGUUCCGACCUGCACGAAUGGCGUAAUGAUGGCCAGGCUGUCUCCACCCGAGACUCAGUGAAAUUGAACUCGCUGUGAAGAUGCAGUGUACCCGCGGCAAGACGGAAAGACCCCGUGAACCUUUACUAUAGCUUGACACUGAACAUUGAGCCUUGAUGUGUAGGAUAGGUGGGAGGCUUUGAAGUGUGGACGCCAGUCUGCAUGGAGCCGACCUUGAAAUACCACCCUUUAAUGUUUGAUGUUCUAACGUUGGCCCGUAAUCCGGGUUGCGGACAGUGUCUGGUGGGUAGUUUGACUGGGGCGGUCUCCUCCUAAAGAGUAACGGAGGAGCACGAAGGUUGGCUAAUCCUGGUCGGACAUCAGGAGGUUAGUGCAAUGGCAUAAGCCAGCUUGACUGCGAGCGUGACGGCGCGAGCAGGUGCGAAAGCAGGUCAUAGUGAUCCGGUGGUUCUGAAUGGAAGGGCCAUCGCUCAACGGAUAAAAGGUACUCCGGGGAUAACAGGCUGAUACCGCCCAAGAGUUCAUAUCGACGGCGGUGUUUGGCACCUCGAUGUCGGCUCAUCACAUCCUGGGGCUGAAGUAGGUCCCAAGGGUAUGGCUGUUCGCCAUUUAAAGUGGUACGCGAGCUGGGUUUAGAACGUCGUGAGACAGUUCGGUCCCUAUCUGCCGUGGGCGCUGGAGAACUGAGGGGGGCUGCUCCUAGUACGAGAGGACCGGAGUGGACGCAUCACUGGUGUUCGGGUUGUCAUGCCAAUGGCACUGCCCGGUAGCUAAAUGCGGAAGAGAUAAGUGCUGAAAGCAUCUAAGCACGAAACUUGCCCCGAGAUGAGUUCUCCCUGACUCCUUGAGAGUCCUGAAGGAACGUUGAAGACGACGACGUUGAUAGGCCGGGUGUGUAAGCGCAGCGAUGCGUUGAGCUAACCGGUACUAAUGAACCGUGAGGCUUAACC
rnacentral:rRNA from 4 species